AUCAGCCUUUAUGACGCGAUUUUGUGGAGUGUGAGGAGCUAAUCGCCUUCAUGCCUGUAUAUUCGUGUACUUGGGGUGUACUUAUUCGUGUGGAAAGUUAACAUCAAUCGUGGUCGUUAAAAAAUGACUGGAGGAAUGUAGCUUCGAUCUCGUAUUGAAGUGUUAUAGCCUUUGGUAGAUGUGAUUAUCGGGAUUGAGGAUUGCAACGGAUACCCUUCGGGGCUACUUGUCUGAUCUCUGAUCGUUGCUCUGGUGCCGAAAGCGUGCUUACGGUUAUCAAAGUCGAUGGUUAAUAGGUUAGAAUGGGUUAAAUUCGUUAAGGAUGUUGACGUAAUGGCUUU
rnacentral:rRNA from 1 species